rnacentral:misc_RNA from 1 species
GUACCCUUCUAAUGGUAUGCCCUCAUCUCUCUUUUUUUAAUAAUUUUGUUUUAUUUUUCUUUUUUCAACUCUUUCUUUUCUGCUUUGUGUAAUUGCGUCUGUAUUCUUAUUUUACUUUGUAAUUCUUUUUUGGGUUGAAUGAUUGUUUUGACACAAUGAUCGGUUUUCUUUCAAGGGUUUAAUGGGGAUGCAAUCAUAGCUGUUUCUUUGUUUCCCUGAAUAAUCGAGCAUACUUGCUUUUUUUUUUUUUUU